GGUCUUCAAGGUAUAUAUUCAGUUACGCACCAUUUUCACUUCCUGCUACCGUCGCCGUGAAAUCGCCGAUUAGGGUUCUGAGACAAGAAGUUUCUCCGCCAUGAGAGCUAAGUGGAAGAAGAAGCGUAUGAGGAGGCUGAAGAGGAAGAGACGAAAGAUGAGACAGCGAUCUAAGUAGGCUCAUCUUCAAGACUUCCCUGUUCCUGUCUUUUCGCUUAAAUCCUAAGUACUUUUGUCUGAACUUGUUUCAGUUUUAAGUUGUUCUUGGCUUUGGUUUUGUUGGAUUGUUAUGGAGUCUCAAUUAAUGUUAAAGCUUAAUCUAUCUACUCUUUUUUGCCAA